AAGAGGAGGGAGCAAUGCUGAGUUCUGUUCAACAAUUUCCUGAAUUCUCUCGUUAACCAAUUUCUCAACACAGAAGAAAACUGGAACUCUGCAGAGACGAGCCUGGGUGGGGACCCCGUCUUCGUGGGAGCGCCAGUCUCCUGGCAUGGGAUGAAGCAUAAGAGGAUGGAGCCUUUGCUCAGAAGUCAACAGGGCAGCGAGCCGGUCAUCUGGAAGUUUCCAGUGAUCUCCGAUCUUGGCAGUUCAAUGAAUGCGACCCUUGUAUGAAGCCCAGCAUGGACUAACCAGGGCCAUGAGGAGUACAAUGGAGUGAUUGUGGGGAGCGACGGGGUGCGUGUGAGCACCUGAGAGCGACUGCUGAGCAGACCCGGCCGCCUUCCCUUCCCGCGCUGUCUGUGCAUCCUCGCUCUCCGCGCUCUACAUUGUUAGGAAGCUGGUCCCCGCCACAACUCACCUCGCGUUCUGCCCUAGAUAUACCAGUGCCAUGCAGGCCUCCUCUGUGUGCCUCUGACCCUGAGCACAGUCCCACGAAGGCCUCGUGGAAACCACUCAGCAAAAACUGAAUGGAAAGGAAGAGGGACGGAGCCAUGCGUCCACUCACUGGAGACCUUUCUAUGGGUUGACCUUGGCCAUGCUAAUCCAGGCCCUCUGGGUGCUGUAGGAGAAUAGUUAUAAAACCUUCCUAUCCUGA